rnacentral:rRNA from 1 species
GACGAACGCUGGCGGCGUGCUUAAUACAUGCAAGUCGAACGCUGAACCCGCUUCGGUGGGGGUUGAGUGGCGGACGGGUGCGUAACACGAGGGCAACCUGCCCCCGGCUCUGGGACAACUCUAAGAUAUUGGGGCUAAUACUGGUUGCGACUGCUAGUUUCAUGGUCUGGUGGCGGAAAGGGUUUCCGGUCGGGGAUGGGCUUGCGGAUUAACAGCUUCUUGGUGGGGUAGUGGCUUACCAAGCCGACGACGGGUAGCCGGCCUGAGAGGGUGACCGGCCUCACUGGGACUGAGGCACGGACCAGUCUGCUACGGGAGGCAGCGGUGGGGAAUAUUGCGCAAUGGGGGGGAGCGAGACGCGGCGACGCCGCGUGGGGGAUGACGUCCUUCGAGUUAUAAACCUCUGUCAACAGAAACGAGGCGCAAGUGACGGUACCUGCAGAGAAAGCACCGGCCAACUACGUG